CCUACGGGAGGCAGCAGUGGGGAAUUUUGGACAAUGGGGGCAACCCUGAUCCAGCAAUGCCGCGUGAGUGAAGAAGGCCUUCGGGUUGUAAAGCUCUUUUGUCAGGGAAGAAACAGCAGCUCUAACACAGUCUGCGAAUGACGGUACCUGAAGAAUAAGCACCGGCUAACUACGUGCCAGCAGCCGCGGUAAUACGUAGGGUGCGAGCGUUAAUCGGAAUUACUGGGCGUAAAGCGUGCGCAGGCGGUUAUACAAGACAGGCGUGAAAUCCCCGGGCUUAACCUGGGAAUGGCGUCUGUGACUGUAUAGCUAGAGUGUGUCAGAGGGGGGUGGAAUUCCACGUGUAGCAGUGAAACGCGUAGAUAUGUGGAGGAACACCAAUGGCGAAGGCAGCCCCCUGGGAUAACACUGACGCUCAUGCACGAAAGCGUGGGGAGCAAACAGGAUUAGAUACCCUGGUAGUCCACGCCCUAAACGAUGCUGACUAGUUGUUGGGAAUUUACAUUCUCAGUAACGUAGCUAACGCGUGAAGUCAGCCGCCUGGGGAGUACGGUCGCAAGAUUAAAACUCAAAUGAAUUGACGG
rnacentral:rRNA from 1 species